GAAGAUGUACCUCAGUGGUAGAGCAUGUGCUUAGCAGGCACGAGGUCCUGGGUUCAAUCCCUAGUAUCUCCA
rnacentral:tRNA from 1 species